UAAAUAUAUCUGACGUCUGACGCGUCCGGACGCGUUCAAAAUUUGUACACCGAAUGUUCAAUAUUUUAACGUCAUAUGUUCAUGCUUAGAGACGUGUUCAAAGUUUUAACGUUUGUUUUAAAAAUAUUAACAUGUGUGUUCAGACGCAGUGAACACCGGUGUUCAAAUUCUGAUCUAAUAAAGAAGAUAGUCGUUUGUCCGAUUUUCUAUCCUUCCAAUUGGCAAAUUCAAAAAGAAAUUCUUUAAAGAAUAUGAAUGUAUACGCAGGAUGAUGAUCUUGUGAAUUUUUGGCUAAUAUUUUAGUAAUUGUGAAAUAUUAAACUUCCAAGCUGGCAUAUAUGUAUAGUUUAUGAAUUUAUUUUAUUAUUUAUUUAUAUAUACUAGUUUUACUUAUAAGUGACAUAAUUAUGCAUAUCAAUGAGGCCUGUUAUGAUAAUAUCGUAAUAAAAAUAUGUCGAUGUUUAUCUUAUUUCAUGAUCCGUUCGUUUUAUUAACAUUACAUGUUCAAUCAGUGUUCAAAUCGCUCGAAAUUUUGAACACCUCGUGUUAAAAAAAAUAUACCAAGAUACCAAAUACCGGAAACAGAUAUCGGCUGGCGAUUUAGGCGGUUAAACGAAGAAUGGAUACACAUAAGAAAGAGAACUGGAGAAGGGACUUCUAUCCCAUAUGAACACGAAAGAAGAAUCGUUAGAUUAAAAUGUUUGAAUUAGGAACCGGUAGCCAAUAAUCCCAAAAAGGUCAUUUCUGCAUGCUACAAAGUGGUGGAAAAAAGAAAGAUGUCGAAAAAAGGAUAUAUAGGCUCAUAGACAUUCCUUGUUGUGGAGGAUUUUGAUAUUGGAAGUUGAUAACAACACAUAAAAUGCCACCCAGUUGAUAGCUUUAAGUGAAGAUGCACUGAAAAGUGGAGCGUACAUUGUAUGUGAUCGUACAAGAACUGUUGGAAUUUGCAAACUUUUAAACUUUCAUUGUGACAUAUACUUAUAUAAUAAACUAUCUAAUUAUCACAUUGACAUGCUUUUUUGGUUAGGAUACAAAUGAUGUUGCAACUAUCUAGUCAUGUAGGGGAAAAUCAUUAUUUGUGAUAUCUAUUUAAGUCAGUUUAAAAACAUUAUGUAUGUGAUUUCACUGACUGUUACUUGUGAUAUCAUAAGGUAUCUGGUGUACUUUUCUUACAUAUAAUAUGCUCAUUUGAUUACAUAAAGAAUUACUUGUUAAAAUAUGUUUUAUUGUUAUAUUUUGCCUGAUUGAAUAUAGUUUAUAUAACAGUUUAUUUAAGUUGAGUACUUAUGGAAAUUUAUGUAUGCUUGAAAAUAGAACAUGUUCCACAUUUGAACACCAUCACUUUGAACACUUAUGUCAACUGUUCUGAAAGUUAACCUCUGGUGUUCUGAAUCUUAACA